rnacentral:rRNA from 1 species
UACGUAGGGCGCAAGCGUUGUCCGGAAUUAUUGGGCGUAAAGAGCUCGUAGGCGGUUUGUCGCGUCUGCUGUGAAAACCUAAGGCUCAACCUUGGGCUUGCAGUGGGUACGGGCAGACUAGAGUGCGGUAGGGGUGACUGGAAUUCCUGGUGUAGCGGUGGAAUGCGCAGAUAUCAGGAGGGAACACCGAGUGGCGAAGG